rfam:Neurospora crassa OR74A linkage group I, whole genome shotgun sequence.
GCCCGCGUGGCGCAAUUGGUUAGCGCGUCAGACUUUUACGAACAAGUGAAGUGAUCUGAAUGUUGCGAGUUCGAGUCUCGCCGUGGGCG